rnacentral:lncRNA from 1 species
UGAUGCUGUAGUGGUGUGAGUGGUCCUUUGACCUGCGGUGUCAUCGGCUAUUCGAGUGAGGCUACUAAGUUUGAUUGCAUGUUCUCUUGGUCCCUAGCCAUUUGAGAUCUUGCUGUGUAUGUUGGCUUCAAUCGGUUCAAGUACACUAUUUGGAGUAGAAUGCAUCUAGAUAAAAUCUAUCGACCUUGAUAGAAAAAGAG